rnacentral:rRNA from 1 species
UACGUAGGGUGCAAGCGUUGUCCGGAAUUAUUGGGCGUAAAGAGCUCGUAGGCGGUCUGUUGCGUCGGCUGUGAAAACCCGGGGCUCAACCCCGGGCCUGCAGCCGAUACGGGCAGACUAGAGUCCGGUAGGGGAGUGCGGAAUUCCUGGUGUAGCGGUGAAAUGCGCAGAUAUCAGGAGGAACACCGGUGGCGAAGGCGGCACUCUGGGCCGGUACUGACGCUGAGGAGCGAAAGCGUGGGGAGCGAACAGG